rnacentral:rRNA from 1 species
CACGUAGGCACCAAGCGUUGUCCGGAUUUAUUGGGCGUAAAGAGCGUGUAGGCGGCUUUACAGGUCCGUUGUGAAAACUCGAGGCUCAACCUCGAGACGCCGGUGGAAACCGUAAGGCUAGAGUCCGGAAGAGGAGAGUGGAAUUCCUGGUGUAGCGGCGAAAUGCGCAGAUAUCAGGAGGAACACCCGUGGCGAAAGCGGCUCUCUGGGACGGUACUGACGCUGAGACGCGAAAGCGUGGGGAGCAAACAGG